CUCGCUGCAUAUUCAGCGAACGGGCUUGGCGGCCCGAAUACGAAAGGCGCAACAGCGCCCCCAUCUCCACUGCAGGCGCUUUUUUU
rnacentral:sRNA from 1 species